UGAGGAAUAUUGGUCAAUGGGCGGAAGCCUGAACCAGCCAUCCCGCGUGAAGGAAGACGGCCCUAUGGGUUGUAAACUUCUUUUCUGUUAGAAGAAUAAGCCCUACGCGUAGGGUGAUGACAGUAUAGCAGGAAUAAGGAUCGGCUAACUCCGUGCCAGCAGCCGCGGUAAUACGGAGGAUCCAAGCGUUAUCCGGAUUUAUUGGGUUUAAAGGGUGCGUAGGCGGACUUGUAAGUCAGUGGUGAAAUCCUGCAGCUUAACUGUAGAACUGCCAUUGAUACUGUGAGUCUUGAGUGUAGUGGAGGUAGGCGGAAUGAGUAGUGUAGCGGUGAAAUGCUUAGAUAUUACUCAGAACACCGAUUGCGAAGGCAGCUUACUAAGCUAUAACUGACGCUGAUGCACGAAAGCGUGGGGAUCGAACA
rnacentral:rRNA from 1 species